GACAGAGGUGCCGAGCGUUAGGCGGAAUCACUGGGCUUAAAGCGUGUGUAGGCGGACCGUUAAGUACCUUGUGAAAUCCCCGGGCUCAACCUGGGAACUGCAUUCAAAACUGACAAGCUAGAGUAUGGUAGAGGGUGGUGGAAUUUCCUGUGUAGCGGUGAAAUGCGUAGAUAUAGGAAGGAACACCAGUGGCGAAGGCGACCACCUGGACUGAUACUGACACUGAGGUGCGAAAGCGUGGGGAGCAAACAGG
rnacentral:rRNA from 1 species